AUGCGCUGCCUCCGCCGCGCGGGCGCGGCCGCCCACCUGCUCCGCUCCGCGACGACCGGCCCCGCCAAGCACGCUCGCACGGCCCUCGAGCAGAUGCCUCCGCCGCCUGCCGCCUUCCCAUGUCGCGCGCGCGCCCACCACCUGCUCGGAGGAAUGCGCGGCCAGUGGCUCUGCACGGCGACGGGGUCCACCGGCGCCCCCGACCUCGCCGUGGACCAGCACUUCACCGUGGUGCCUGGCCUAGGCCCCGAUGUCUCCGAGGUGGCGGGGCUCACCGGCGCCCACGAUCUUGCCGUGGACCAGGACUUCACAGUGGUGCCCGGCCCAGGCCUCGAUGUCUCCAAGGAGGCGGAGAGGGUCUGCCGCGUGCUGUCCACCGUGCCGGAGCCGAGGGUUGCGUCAGCCCUCGACGCGCUCGGGGCCUCUGUGUCGCCUCAGCUCGUGGCGGAGGUGCUCAAGAACCUGAGCAACGCUGGCAUCCUCGCCCUCGCCUUCUUCCGGUGGGCGGAGAGGCAGCAAGGCUUCGUGUACACGGCGGAGAGCUUCCACAACCUCAUCGAAGCGCUCGGCAAGAUCAAGCAGUUCAGGCUGGUCUGGAGCCUGGUGGAGGCCAUGCGGUGCCGCGGCUUGCUUUCCAAGGACACGUUCAGGCUCAUCGUCAGGAGGUACGCCAGGGCAAGGAAGGUCAAGGAAGCUGUCGAGACGUUUGAGAAGAUGGCCGGCUUCGGGCUCAAAGCAGACUUAUCAGAUUACAAUUGGUUGAUCGACGUGCUGAGCAAAUCCAAGCAAGUCAAGAAGGCGCAAGCCAUCUUCAAGGAGAUGAAGAGGAACGGAAAGUUUGUUCCCGAUUUGAAGACCUACACUGUCCUCAUGGAAGGCUGGGGCCAUGAGAAGGACUUGCUGAUGCUUAAGUCGGUGUACCAAGAAAUGCUUGAUGCAGGCCUGAAGCCUGAUGUCGUGGCAUACGGGAUGCUCAUUAGUUCCUUUUGCAAGUCUGGCAAAUGUGAUGAGGCCAUCAAGGUGUUCUGUGAGAUGGAAGCCAAUGGUUGCAUGCCAAGCCCUCAUGUGUAUUGCAUGCUUAUCAAUGGGCUUGGCUCAGAGGAGAGGCUGGAUGAGGCUUUGAAGUAUUUUGAGCUUUCUAAGGCCAGUGGGUUUCCCAUGGAGGUACCUACAUGUAAUGCAGUUGUUGGGGCUUACUGCAGAGCCUCAAAAUUCCAGCAUGCCUUCAAGAUGGUCGAUGAGAUGAGAAAGAGUGGAAUCGGUCCAAAUUCCCGGACUUAUGAUAUUAUUCUUCACCAUCUUAUAAAGUCUCAGAAGAUAGAAGAGGCUUAUAAUGUGUUCCAGGGAAUGGGCAAGGAUGGCUGUGAACCUCAGCUCAACACAUAUACAAUGAUGGUUAGUAUGUUCUGCAGUAAUGAAAGGGUUGAUGUGGCCUUGAAGGUGUGGAACCAAAUGAAGGAGAAGGGUGUUCUGCCAUGUAUGCACAUGUUUUCUGCAUUGAUCAACGGGUUAUGCUUUGAGAACAGGCUGGAAGAAGCUUGCGUAUAUUUCCAGGAGAUGUUGGACAAAGGGAUCAGGCCACCUGGUCAGCUUUUCAGUAAUUUAAAGGAAGCUCUUAUUGAGGGAGGAAGAAUUAGUCUGGCACAGGAGAUGGCUUUGAAGUUGGAUGGAUUACGGAAAACACCUAUGCGUCGUUGA
rnacentral:rRNA from 1 species